AUGGAGUCCUCCCUGGAAGCUGUGGCUGCGGGCAGAGCCCAGGUGCAGCAGGAGCCGUCGGCAGAGACCACUGAGGGCACCGGCGUCAGCAUCAACUGCUCACACCCCAACAUCCAAACCAGCGAGUUCAUCUACUGGUACCGUCAGCUCCCAGGUCGAGGACCCGAACGACUCGUGAGCGGUCUCAAAGGGUCCAAAGAUGUGUCGGAGCCGCUGGGCCGGCAGUCGGUGGCGGCAGACCGGCGGUCCAGUGCCCUGUGGCUCGCCCAGCCCCGGCUCGGGGACGCGGCGGUGUAUUACUGCGCCCUGGGAGACACGGGGAGACGAGCCGGGGCUGCGGCCGCGCAGGCGU